UGUACUCCUCCACACUAAGAUUUUUUUGCUUGAAAUCAUGUAUUUUGAGAAAGAUCUCUUGUCUAUAAUUAUCAGGUAAAUAUUUUCUCUUUAGCUCCCUUUUCAUUUUCUCCCAUGUAACGAUCUUACUCUUCCCCUCACGUUCUCUUUGUUUCUUCAGAUUUUCCCACCAAAAAGAUGCAUUCCGCCUGAGUUUGAGUGCCACAAGUUUGACCUUCUUUUGUUCUGGUGGUUCAU
rnacentral:lncRNA from 1 species